rnacentral:rRNA from 1 species
AUUGAACGCUGGCGGCAUGCUUUACACAUGCAAGUCGAACGGUAACAGGCCGCAAGGUGCUGACGAGUGGCGAACGGGUGAGUAAUGCAUCGGAACGUGCCCAGUCGUGGGGGAUAACUGCUCGAAAGAGCAGCUAAUACCGCAUACGAUCUAUGGAUGAAAGCGGGGGACCGUAAGGCCUCGCGCGAUUGGAGCGGCCGAUGGCAGAAUAGGUAGUUGGUGGGGUAAAGGCUCACCAAGCCAACGAUCUGGAGCUGGUCUGAGAGGACGACCAGCCACACUGGGACUGAGACACGGCCCAGACUCCUCCGGGAGGCAGCAGUGGGGAAUUUUGGACAAUGGGGGCAACCCUGAUCCAGCCAUGCCGCGUGCAGGAAGAAGGCCUUCGGGUCGUAAACUGCUUUUGUACGGAACGAAACGGUCUGGGUUAAUACCCUGGGCUAAUGACGGUACCGUAAGAAUAAGCACCGGCUAACUACGUGCCAGCCGCCGCGGUAACAC